GAACCGAAGUACAAUCAAGCCACAAACUAGUUGUACUUUGUAACCUAAUUUCUUCAUCAUACCCAAAAAAAUAUUCCUCUUUUCUCUCCCAACAGAUUAGAACAUCAAAAUUAUUUUGAUUUCUUGUUUGUUUUACAAGAAUAAUCAAGAUGGAGAUUGAUUUACAAGAAUAAUAGAUCUAGAUCGAAGAACACAUCAAAAUUAUUUUGAUUUCCUUGUUUUUCAAGAAGAAUACAUACACGGAGGCAAAAGGAAUGGACUAGGAGCUACAGGUCUCGGAUCUUAAAUACGUGAACUCGACACGGUAUUUCUUAUGGUCAACAGAAAACCAAACCACUUCAAGAUGGUAGAAUUGAGAUUUUUAGUUGGUCAUCUUUAAAACAAGGAGAGAUUAAGAGUGUAUAGCAAUAAUUGACAACUAUAACAAUUGCAAUUUCACUAAUACCCGGUAGAUCACAAUAAAACAAUUAUACCAAUAGCAAUUUGGUCAUCUUAAAACAAGUAGUACAGAUUAACAUAUUACCUCACAUCAACAACAAUCUGAACAAGUUAAUAUAUGUAAACUGCAAUAACAUCAAUAAUAUUCACAAGAGACAUCUAUAACAAUUGGAAUUUCAUGAAACCCUAAUUACUCAUAAGGCCAAGAAGUACAGAAUAAGAUAGGCACGAACAUCAACAACAAUCAGACUAAGGGUCGCACAAUAUACAUAAACUGCAAUUAACAUUCAAAUUUCAACUCAAUUUUGAAAAUCCUAUUUACUCAGCAAUAGAAAUGUACAAUGUAAAUUGCAAUCAACAAUAUUAACAAUCAGAAUUUUACAUCAAAUGACAAUCAAAUCUAACUUACAGUGAUGAAACUGAAGAACAUGUAUAUACAUUGCAAUCAAGUCUAACUUACAGUGAAGAAAAUUGCAGUCAAAUCUACCUUACAGUUGGUGAAGACGAAAAUGGGAGCGAGAAUUCAAAAUUGAUUGUAUGAAGAGAUUCAAAAGGUACCAAGUGUUUUGGAAGCAAAAUAGAGUUGACGAACCAAUGUUUUUGAUAGAAGCAGAUAAUUUGGAAAUCAUGUACACUAGAAGGUCAUUUUCAACUUAUUUUAUGUAAUGGAUACACGCACAUAAACAUCUUUUCCGAAAUAUAAGUCACACAAGUUUGUAAUAUAGAAAUAUUUUAUCACGUGUUCAAACAGUUCAAGUGUUAAUAUGAAAAUUUUCUUAUA